GGGGAUUUAGCUCAGUGGUGAGAGCACUUGCCUAGCAAGCGCAAGGCCCUGGGUUCGGUCCCCAGCUCCG
rnacentral:tRNA from 1 species